GGAUGAGGGGUGGUGGGCUUGGUGGCUGGAAUGGGUUGGGAAUGAGUGGUGGGCUUGGUGGUUGAAAAGGGUUGGGAAUAAGAGGAGGUGGUUGAAAGGGGUUUGGAAUGAGGGGAGGAGGCUGAAAUGGAUUAGGAAUCAAUGGUGGUGGAAAAAAUGGAUUUGGAGGAAAAAAGAAAUCUUCAGCUAAAUCUUUAUUUGAUUGAGGUUUGUCUGAACUUUUAGUUGGAUUGGAUUUGAACACUGUA
rnacentral:lncRNA from 1 species